CCUACGGGCGGCUGCAGUGGGGAAUAUUGGACAAUGGGCGAAAGCCUGAUCCAGCCAUGCCGCGUGUGUGAAGAAGGCCUUCGGGUUGUAAAGCACUUUCAGUGGGGAAGAAAGCCUUGGGGCUAAUACCCUCGAGGAAGGACAUCUCCCACAGAAGAAGCACCGGCUAACUCCGUGCCAGCAGCCGCGGUAAUACGGAGGGUGCGAGCGUUAAUCGGAAUUACUGGGCGUAAAGCGCGCGUAGGCGGUCUGAUAAGCCGGUUGUGAAAGCCCCGGGCUCAACCUGGGAACGGCAUCCGGAACUGGCAGGCUAGAGUGCAGGAGAGGAAGGUAGAAUUCCCGGUGUAGCGGUGAAAUGCGUAGAGAUCGGGAGGAAUACCAGUGGCGAAGGCGGCCUUCUGGACUGACACUGACGCUGAGGUGCGAAAGCGUGGGUAGCAAACAGGAUUAGAUACCCGGGUAGUC
rnacentral:rRNA from 1 species